rnacentral:rRNA from 1 species
UGAGGAAUAUUGGACAAUGUGCGCAAGCCUGAUCCAGCCAUGCCGCGUGCAGGAAGAAGCAUCUAUGGUGUGUAAACUGCUUUUGUACGGGCAGAAACACUCCUUCGUGAAGGAGCUUGACGGUACCGUAAGAAUAAGGAUCGGCUAACUCCGUUCCAGCAGCCGCGGUAAUACGGAGGAUCCAAGCGUUAUCCGGAAUCAUUGGGUUUAAAGGGUCCGUAGGCGGUUUAGUAAGUCAGUGGUGAAAGCCCAUCGCUCAACGAUGGAACGGCCAUUGAUACUGCUAGACUUGAAUUAUUAAGAAGUAACUAGAAUAUGUAGUGUAGCGAUGAGAUGCUUAGAUAUUACAUGGAGUACCAAUGGCGAAGGCAGGUUACUACUAAUGGAUUGACGCUGAUGGACGAAAGCGUGAGGAGCGAACA